UGUAACCCAUCCUGACAGCAUCCUGAAGCAGGAGCUCCACGGAAAUUAUUUAUUCAUACUCGAUCUUCCGCGACUAACCACGCUUGCCGCAACCCUCGUGGUGAAACGUGCAGGGGUCGGAGGUUUAUCGAAACAGUUUCCAGUUGCUGCUCAAUAAUAUCGAACAUCGAACAGAAGCCACGAUAACGUGAAAAUUAGCACCUCGUCGUAGGAGCUUAAACUUAACGCGUUCUUUGGAUUCUUUUAGAUCCAAUUGUUAAUCAAUUUAUUAAAUUGGAGAAAAUUCAUACUACUUGAAAGAUAAACAAUUUCGUUGACACGAAAGUGAAAUUAAAAGAUAAAAAUUCGGGUAUCGUAAAAUAAAAUAGUAACUUUGAAAUUAUUAUCGAUCAAUGUUUUAAAUCAGAAAAAUUCGACCUUGAAUGUGAAGCACUUGACUCGUUACUACUCUCAUUUUCCAAUUUAACGUAACGUAAUUGAACGAGAUUGUUAUCGAUGAAUCUACAUUUUAUCGGCAUGUACAGCGAUUUGGUAUACAAAAUGGGUACUAUUUGCAUGCGACAAACACGAGGAUACGUAUAAUCAGUCGGACGUUUCAUGAUGUUAUGUUAAACAAUUUUCUGGCAAAGCCAGUGCAUUUAGUCUAAGAUAUAUAUUGACAAAUGCGUGGAUAUUUCCGGUAAAUAUCGCAUUUUCCACGAGGCUAAACAACCAGCAUAUGCACGUUGCAAUUUCGUCGAUGUAUAUACCAACGACUGAAUCUGUUAGGCAAGGUCUCACCAACAAAUCCGUAUAUUUAUUUGUUGUGUCUGAUGCAAAACCCAUACGUUUUGCGUCCACCUUUUUUGAUCCGAUAAAUUAUAAGCUUGCGUUGCAGCGGAUUCCUGUCAGCUCCGUGACACGUUUGCCAAACCGGUGAUUGGUCAACGGGUAUCGGUUGGAAAUUACUCGUCACACUCGACGUCUGACCUUUUUCUCUCAUACCCACUAGAUCCAUCAAAGAAAUCAUAUGAAUUUUAAUUUCUUCUCGAAUUUCAUAUCCAUUGGCGCACAAAUUUUUCCUCCAUCUAGCAGUGAAACUGAUUAAAUUAAAAAAAAAAAACAAUUAAAAAUGAAAGUAGAUUUUAUCUAUUCUUCGUAAAAUAUUACAUUUAUGAUAAAAUAAUUGAACUGUUGAACAACCAGAGUAUCAGAUAUGUUCAUUUACAAUGUCAAUAUAUUUGCCCAAAAAGUAUCUUUCUUUUACAGACACAUCUUUUAUAACGAUGUAUCUUUAUAGAAACGUGAAACAUAAUCUGUCGAACAUUGUAACUAUUUUGAUAGAACUAUUGAGAUAUGUAUAAUUUUAUAUGCUAGACUAGGUUAGCUGCGUAGUAGCGAUACUUGUAUGUGAAUAUCAGUGUGUGGAAGUAUGUGUGUGCGUGGCGUCUCGAAAACAAAGGAAGGUAAACUGUUCAGUUAACGGUCUGGUAUCGAAUAGGUAUGACGCGUGCAAUUCUCGUGUGUUUCAAGAAAUCUCACUGGGUAAUUGAAAAAAACAGUGGAGAAGAAUCGUUAGAACAAACAUCGUUGCUCAAAGUAGAGGCAUUUCUCGCGAAGAAAAUGUGCAGUUUCAGGGGUGAGACAGAUAAUCAUCCUCCGUGUCAGACGUGGGCUGUCCACCGCGACAAUGUAUGUAUACAUUGAUUAAUGGUCGCCUGUUCGCCGCGGGAUAAAAGUCAGGGAAAAGAGAGGAAGAAAGGAUAAGAAAAUCGGAGAUCGAGCGCCUCUUAAAAAUCAGGACACUCUGGUUGCGCGCGACCAAUUCUUGCAUUUUUGAAACUUGUUAGUCACAGGAUAGUUCCGCGCUGUCGUCCAUUGUUCCGCUUACCAAUCGUAGCGAUCAUCGUUUGUUAUCUUGAACGACAUUGAUAAAAAAAAAAAAAAAAUGCGAGCACAGGCAAAUGUUAUCGUCUGUUGAUUGUCGAGUGAUUUAGAGUGGAAUGCUUCUUGGAAUUUUCUGCGGUAAGAGAAACGUCUCGCCUGUCAGACGAACGGAUUCAUCGUGGGCUGUUUGAAACAAUAGGAUCUUCUGUUCGUGUGACAAAUUUCAUGUCACCACGAUUAAGACGUUUGCAACUUUCAUUCAUACCUAUCGUCGUUUAAUAUUAGGUUGUCCGAAAAGUUUCUUUCGUUUUGUAAGAUGAUAAUAAACGCAGUUUUGUUUUAUAUCAAUUUAUUGAAUUAUGCGUAGAAACUAAUAAUAGAAAUAGAACGAAAUGGAUUAUGCGUAAUUUAAUGAAAUAAUUAAUUUAUUAGUAUAGUUAUAAAUAAAGCAGAAUCAAAGUAUUCCUUCCAUACUUGCAGUAUAAUAGAUGAACAACAAUUUCUCUUUUAUAUUUUGUUAUAAAAUAACGAUGAAGAAGUUUCCUUAUUUAUUUUUAUUGAUUAAUUGAUUCAUCUUUUUCUAUCAGUUUCUUUUGUUUUAUAAGAAAAUAAUAGACGCACAAUGUUUUUUAUUAUGCACAAACGUAAUAAUAGAAAUAUAAUAAAAUGGAUGAUGCGUAAUUCAAUAAAAAAUAUAAAAGAGAAAUUGUUGUUCAUUUAUUAUAUUCUAAGUGUGGGAGAAAUACUUUGAUUCUGCAUACUUUAUUUAUAAUUACACUAAUAAAUUAAUUAUUUUGUUAUAAAGCAACGAUGAAAGAGUUACCUUAAUUAUCUUUAUUGAUUGAUUGAUUUAUCUUUUUUCUAUCAGUUUCUUUCGUUCUAUAAGAAAAUAAUAGACGCACUAUGUAUUUUAUUAUUAAUAUUAUUAUUAAAUCGUUAAUCUAUUAUUAUAAAACUAAAGAAAAUACAGUAAACAUUUGUGUAAAAUAUUAGAAGAACAGCUGAUAGGAUUAGGAAAGAAAAACUUCUAAUAAAAAAAUUAAUCAAUCAAUCAAUAAAAAUAAAUAAGGAAACUGUUUUAAUAAAUUGCCAUUCGACUGUAUGCUGUAGCUGUUCAAUAAGAAAUUCACACCAAUGUGAAAAAUUGCAUGUUCCACGCAGGAAAAUUGUACUAAGAAAACUGACUAUUUCUAAUUUUCUUUUCGCUACAUUUUUUAUCUUACCGCGACCUGUAACAAAGAGGUUACGAGAGGAUUACGGAACACCCAGUAUAUCACAGCCGCGCUGCCAACGUUGCAAAGAAAAACAGCCUUUGCCAAUAGCCGUUAACCCGAUAAAGAUGUUUAUAAGCAACUUUCUAUAGACGCAUCGGCCAUUUUUUAACGUCCAGCUCAGUCAAAAGCAGGCGAGAUGAUCUGUGUAAAAUCAUCUAGCGAUAUUUCGCAAGGCAACAGGCUAUUCACCCUAAUUAAACUAAUUAAAUACGCGUUGAACAUGGUAAUAACCUACACGAAAAACGAGUAUUCAAUGUACGACUGGAAAACACAUUCGCGAAAUUAUAAAGCGUCCGUGAAUUUUAUAUGAAAUUAAAUUAGUCGAUUAAAUAAAACGAAAGAAUAAAUUAUUUCGCUUGAUGAUUUGAACGUUUCUUAGCAGCGUGAACUCGAUCAACGUUAAAUAGCAGAAAGGGAAUUAAUCAUCGAAAAGUACGGAAAAGUUUAGGAGCGAUCGACGAACCGGAUCGUGCGAACGUAACGAGCAAAGGCGAUCAUCGCGAUACAAAAGAAACAACGAAAGCGGCUCUUAUUUUACACAUCUUUGCUGAACCGGCAAUUUCCGGCGCAUAGCUUAAAAAACGUAAACGCUAGGAAAUUGCAAGAUAUCGUAAGAAAGAUGCGAUUGGCAAUUUUUUCCUCUCGUUGGUGAUUCAGCGAAAGAUACAAUGUACGCGACAUCGUACAAUUUGCAUUCGAAAUUACAACUAACCACGCAUUAAUUUCUGUCUAGAGGUUACACUAUCAUCGCCUUUUUCAUUUUUCUCUCGUUCGAGCACCGAUUUAACAAAACGAUUCAUAGCGAUUCCUUCGACUCCUCUUUUUUUCGUCCGUUUCGUGUAAUGAAAGGUGAUCUGCCAUAAUGAAUUCUUUGGAAAUGAAAUCGACCGCGAAUAUUCACGGCCAAUGUACGCCAUUAAGGUGUUCGCGGGUCUGUGAAUUCGGCGAAAUACGCUUGUUAACGAAGGCCGAGUCGCGCAAUAAGAUGGAAAAGGCGAGCGACAAGUGUCAGCAACGAUCGAGUGUGAUAGCAAACGACAGGAGGAAAUGGCCACGUUUAUCCGAGAAUCGGGUAGCAUAACUGCAAAUGAUAGAUUACGAUUAACCGUAGGGCCCGGCAGCUCGAUCGAUCAGUCGCAAAUGGCAAUAAUUUUCCUACGACUGCGAGUAACGUCUUCAUGAAAUGAAGCGUUUCGAGCCAACAGGUUCCGAAGCGACGCGGCGCACCGUUUCCAUCAAAGAAGCAUUAAUGAAGAUGAACAAACAUUAUACGUAAUAAACGCUUCUUUGAAUGCCCUAACCUGUCGUAGAGAAAUAAAAUGCAAGGAAAUGCCGACAGCACAUCAUCCAUUCGAGUAAACGCAAAUAGACGCAUCUAUUCUAUGCAACAGAAUAUGCCGCGCAUCGUCCACAGCCAUCUUUUCCCUUCGACCAUAGUAGUGGCAUGGUAACGACUUAAUCUGCUCGCACGCGAUUCGACAAAAUAUACGUUGCUGCUCCCCUCCCCCCCUCCCCCCCCUCCCCCUCCCCUCCCCACUUUCUCGAUCAGCUUCCAAUUCACCUAGCGUCGCUUACGUAACACGCGCAUUCUCCGUGGCCGAUCGACUUUGCUUAAACGGUCGUUGGAAAGUAGCAGCUUUGGCAUCGGAAAGGGCUUGCAAAGAGGUGGAAGAAGAAAAAGGAAGAAAUAAAGAGAGAGAGAGAGAGAGAGAGAGAGAAAAGCGGACUGUUGUGCGCGAGGGGCGCAAUUAGCGAGGCUCGCUCGGGUAGAAAGUGUGGCUCUCGAAGCUCUCGAAAUUGCCCCGUCGGGAAACGAAAUUGCGUUUUGCAGCGCGUAAUACGUUGUACUUUCGAAACGGUCGGGGCCUGGUCCGAGAACGAGGGCCGCGUUCGAAGCUUCGGGCGGUCGCUCGUGAAACGAAAAACAGAGCAACACAGCACGGACCGGAAUACAGAACGACGACGGCGGCGGCGGCCAUGGUAGACCGCGAAGACCAGUUUACAAGAAGAAACGUACGCUGAGUGCGGAAAGUACAACGCAACGCGAAAAACAGUCCCGCGGAAGGCCGAUCCGCCUUCGGUACAGCACACGCCGUCGUUAUCGGGCGUCCUUUAAUUGUGGUUAGGUUACCAUGGCUGGUAUCCUGCUUUACUCUUUCAUAUUUAAAUGUAUUAUUAGCAGAGAUUAUUAUAAGCACCAGCCGGGGGCAUUAAGUAGACCCGAUCGCGAGCCAUUGCUCACCGGUAUCUGGGAUAUUUUAUAUCGAGAGUAAUUUCCGGUUUUGCGCACGCCUUCGCGUACACCGCGCGCGACCGCCUCCCGCUGCCCCCCAGUUUUCCCCCGGAUGCGUGAGCGUUAUCGACCAACCUGCAACGUUCGAUCGUCUUUUUUUUUUGUUUCUUCCUUUAUCAUAACAAGCAAGAAGUAGUAGUAGGUAUAUAGGGUGUAUGGUUAAUGAACUGCGUUGUUUCUUGGUUAUAAAUAAAAUAGUGGAUAUUAGGUUAGGUAGGAUUCUUUUGGUUUAUGAGGAAAUAAUAGAGACGCACAAAGAUUUUUGUUUGAUAUUAUUUUGUCGAAUUACGUGGCAUUCAUUUUCUGUUCUGUUGGGAUAAUAUUUUACAGACUUUUGUACAGCAUUUCCGGACAAGCAUGUAUGGGUUGCAUUGUAAACUGUAGAUUUGGCAAAAGUGUUUAAGUAUUCUUAUGAGCAGAAGCUUUCGUAGAAUUAGGUACUCAAUGACCGUAGGUUGAUUUUAGAAAAUAUUUUAUACCAAAUGACGAAUGGAUUGUCAGUAAAAACGUUGCGAGUAAUUUAGUCUUCUUGUGUGAUGUAAAAGUUCUAGGCAAUAGGAAUAAAGAAUAAAAAAUAAAAGUGGAGAAUAAGAACAGGAGAUAAAAAUAGAUAAAAUUAGGAUAUAAAAGUAGGAAAUUACAGUACAGGACAAGAAUAAAGACCAAAGACAGAAAAGAAGAUUAUUUCUUAUAUUCAUAAUGAAUUUUCCAAAAGCCAAACUGAUCAAUUAUGUUCUUUAUAAAUUCCUCAAUUUCAUUGUGAUUAAUAACAAUAAUAGUAAAAGUAGAGAAUAAGAAUAGGAGAUAAAAAUUGAGGAUAAAAUUAGGAUAUAAAAGUAGAAAAUUAAAGUACAGGACAAGAAUAAAGACUAAAAAUAAUGAAUUGAUAAUGAAUUUUCCAAACGCCAAACUCACCAGCUAUGUUCUUUAUAAAUUCCACAAUUUCAUUGCCCAACUUCGCCACUAAUGUUCAAUUUUCAAUCAUUUGAACAGAGAUCUGUUCCAUCCACUAAAUUGUACAAUGUCUUGAACAAUUUACAUAGUUUUGUAGAUAUUCAUGAAGGCAUAGACACCUGUUGCCAACUGACAAUCUCUUAGGCAAAGAUUGGUUCCAGUUGCUGAAUUUUGUUGUUGAGGUUGACUGAUAGAGAAACAAGUGUAUGAAUUUGUAAUAGAAAAAUAUAUUGAAAUAAGUAUAGGUACAGGUAUAGUGUAUGAGGUCAAAAUUAAGUAAAUUGCUAUCAACAUAUACUAAUUUCAUGUCUGAUGUUGUUAAGGUUGACUGAUAGAGAAACAAAUGUAUGAAUUUAUUAUUGGAAAAAUAUAUUGAAAUAAGUAUAGGUACACAUAUAGUGUAUGAGGGCAAAAUCAAGUAAAUUGUUGUCAUUAUUUACUAAUUUAGUGUGUGAUAUUGUUGAGGUUGACUGAUAGGGAAACAAGUGUAUCAAUUUAUUAUUAGAAAAAUAUAUUGAAAUAAGUAUAGGUACAGGUACAGUGUAUGAGGUCAAAAUCAAGUAAAUUGUCAUAAUUAUUUAUUAAUUUAGUGUCUGAUAUUGUUAAGGUUGACUGAGGUUGAAUUUGUAAUAGAAAAAUAUAUUGAAAUAAGUAAAGGUACAGGUAUAGUGUAUGAGGUCAAAGUCAAGUAAAUUGUUGUCAUUAUUUACUAAUUGAAUGUGUGAUAUUAUUGAGGUUGACUGACAGAGAAACAAGUGUAUGAAUUUAUUAUUAGAAAAAUAUAUUGAAAUAAGUAUAGGUACACUUAUAGUGUAUGAGGUCAAAAUCAAGUAAAUUGUUAUCAUCAUAUACUAAUUUAAUGUUUGAUGUUGUUAAGGUUGAUUGAUAGAGGAACCAAUAGAUGAAUUUGUAAAGAAAAAUAUAUUGAAAUAAGUAUAGGUACACUUAUAGUGUAUGAGGUCAAAAUCAAGUAAAUUGUUGUCAUUAUUUAUUAAUUUAGUGUGUGAUAUUGUUGAGGUUGACUGAUAGGGAAACAAGUGGAUGAAUUCAUUAUUAGAAAAAUAUAUUGAAAUAAGUAUAGGUAUACUUAUAGUGUAUGAGGUCAAAAUCAAGUAAAUUGUUGUCAUUAUUUACUAAUUGAAUGUGUGAUAUUGUUGAGAUUGACUGACAGUCAAGCAAGUGGAUAAAUUUGUAAUAGAAAAAUGUAUUGAAGUAUGUUGAAGUGCAAGUAUAGUGUAUUAGAUCAAAAUCAAAUAAAUUGUUAUCAUCAUUUAAUAAUUUAAUGUGUGAUAUUGUUGAAGUUGACUGAUGGAGGAAUCAGUGGAUGAAUUUGUAAUAGAAAAAUAUAUUGAAAUAAGUAUAAGUACACAUAUAGUGUAUGAGAUCAAAAUCAAGUAAAUUGUUAUCAUCAUUUAUUAAUUUAAUGUGCGAUAUUGUUGAGGUUGACUGAUAGAAAAACGAGUGGAUGAAUUUAUUAUUAGAAAAGUGUAUUGAAA